rnacentral:lncRNA from 10 species
GGCCUCUGCUCACGAACGAAAGAGCUCAUUCAGAGCACAUCAAUAACCAGAACAUAGUGCAUAGUGUUGCAAUUCAACACAGGACUCCUAGACAAGCGACUCAAAGUUUCUGGGCGCUGGAGCUUGCCCGCUAGCUGCUGAAAUCCGCGGACACCACGUUCACACCUAAUUCUCACGAACCCGCAGAAAGGGAGUAUUGAAUUGAGAGUCCAAGCAACCUCAAGCCUCUGAAUACCCAUGGGAGAAGCAACGGGAAUUAAAUGAAGGCACGAGAGUGGGGGGUCAUCUGCGUUUACGUACAGUUAAAAUCUAAAUCAGGAGCUUCUUCGAUGACAUUCAACUGACUUACUCUUCCGAAGGAACGGCUAAAACCGGACUGGAGCGGGCGUGCUAGCUGAGGAGGGAGCUUGUUUCUGUCCUAACUGGAAAAGAUGACUCUGAAGAGGUCUCUGACUCUUCAGGUCAUUACCAAGCCACUAGAAACGACAUGCUGGAAGACUGUAAUAGUUCUGGGAAAAUGCUUGUGACAUAAUGUUCACUGACAAAAGUAGGAGGCAAUAAGCGUGACUUAAUCUACGCAAAAUUUUUGCAGGUAAAAUCCUGCGGUGAACUCAUAAUGGAUGCGUGGAGCGCUGAGAAGCAGUUGGUCUUCACAGUCUCGUGCAGGUCUCUCCUCAUGAGUGAAAGAGCUCUUUCAGAACACAACAAGAACCAGAAUAUUGCACUUAGUGUUGCAAUUCAAUACAGGACUCCUAGACAAGCGACUCAAAGUUCCUGGGCGCUGGAGCUUGCCCACUAGCCACUGAUAUCCGCGGACAUCACGUUCACACCUAAUUCUCACGAACCCGCAGAAAAGGAGUAUUGAAUUGAGAGUCCAAGCAACCUCAAGUCUGUAAAUGCCAAUGGGAGAAGCAACGGGAAAUAAGGGAACGCAUGAGAGUGGGGAGUCAUCUGCAUUUAAGCACAAUUAAUAUCUAAAUCAGGAGCCUCUUCGAUGGCGUUCAACUGACUUGCUCUUCCAAAAGAACGGCUAAAACUGGACUGGCGCGGGCUUGCGAGAGCUUGGAAGGACCCUGUAGGAGCUGCCUAGCAGUUCGGAUCACAGAACACUGUUCCCAAGAGGACCCCUUAUUCUGAUGUUUUGAUGGAAGGAGACUACGCGGGGAGGCAUUCCCAGAGACCAAGCUUCCUGCUCCAUCCGCUUCUGAUGGUGUUCCAGGAAACACCCGCAACAAUUGCGACAAGCUCUAACAUUUGCUGCAGAAUUUUGAGUUAUAGCAAUGAUUUGAACAACCUCAAAUGGCCAUCGAUGUUUGACUUUUAAAAUAAAUUUUGGAAGAUCCAUAUAAUGGAAGAUUCUGCAAUUGAUAAAAGGAAUGAGAUGCACUUCUAUUUACUGAAAGGAAAUGCACUAGUAUUUCAGUGGUAGCCCAGUAAGAGGCUACACUUAGUAAGAGGAUACACUAGAAAUCCACUUAUUGUCAGUUUGAGAGCCUGGUAUUGCCUCUAAGAAACUUCAUCUUUUCCCCUUGACAACUCCCCCUUUGACCUCCAGUAAAGGACUCCCCCUGCAUCUCAAAUCAAAGGUAGAUUUUUACUACCUUUUUUUUUUCUUUUUUAA